CGGGUGAGUAAUACGUGAGCAAUGUGCCCUUGACUCUGGGAUAAGCGCUGGAAACGGCGUCUAAUACCGGAUACGACCUUCGGAGGCAUCUCCUGACGGUGGAAAGAAUUUCGGUCAAGGAUCAGCUCACGGCCUAUCAGCUAGUUGGUGAGGUAAUGGCUCACCAAGGCGACGACGGGUAGCCGGCCUGAGAGGGUGACCGGCCACACUGGGACUGAGACACGGCCCAGACUCCUACGGGAGGCAGCAGUGGGGAAUAUUGCACAAUGGGCGCAAGCCUGAUGCAGCAACGCCGCGUGAGGGACGAAGGCCUUCGGGUUGUAAACCUCUUUUAGCAGGGAAGAAGCGAGAGUGACGGUACCUGCAGAAAAAGCACCGGCUAACUACGUGCCAGCAGCCGCGGUAAUACGUAGGGUGCAAGCGUUGUCCGGAAUUAUUGGGCGUAAAGAGCUCGUAGGCGGUUUGUCACGUCUGCUGUGAAAACCCGAGGCUCAACCUCGGGCUUGCAGUGGGUACGGGCAGACUAGAGUGCGGUAGGGGAGAUUGGAAUUCCUGGUGUAGCGGUGGAAUGCGCAGAUAUCAGGAGGAACACCGAUGGCGAAGGCAGAUCUCUGGGCCGUAACUGACGCUGAGGAGCGAAAGCAUGGGGAGCAAACAGGCUUAGAUACCCUGGUAGUCCAUGCCGUAAACGUUGGGAACUAGAUGUGGGGACCAUUCCACGGUCUCCGUGUCGUAGCUAACGCAUUAAGU
rnacentral:rRNA from 1 species